rnacentral:misc_RNA from 1 species
AUCCAUGUGGGAGCUGGCUUGCCUGCGAUAGCGGUCUGUCAGCCAACACCGCUAUCGCACGCAAGCCAGCUCCCACAGUAGA